rnacentral:rRNA from 1 species
AAAGGCUCGUAAUCGGAGGUUGUGUCUCGGACGGUCGGUUCGCCGCUUGUCGGUGCUCACCUGGCCUGUCCGGACGUCCUGCCGGUGGGGCUGUAAAAGGCUCCGUUAUCCUUCUUUGGUCCUCUUCAUUGAAUGCCUUGAUGGGCCGGCACGUUUACUUUGAACAAAUUAGAGUGCUCAGAGCAUGACGUUGGUCGCCUGAAUACUGUGUGCAUGGAAUAAUGGAGUAGGACCUCGGUUCCAUUUUGGUGGUUUUCAUAACUCGAGGUAAUGAUUAAUAGGGACGGACGGGGGCAUUCGUAUUGCGACGUUGGAGGUGAAAUUCUUGGAUCGUCGCAUGACAAACCGAUGCGAAAGCAUUUGCCAAGAACGUUUUCGUUGAUCAAGAACGAAAGUUAGAGGUUCGAAGGCGAUCAGAUACCGCCCUAGUUCUAACCAUAAACGAUGCCAGCUAGCCAUCCGCCGAAGUUCCUUAUAUGACUCGGCGGGCAGCUUCCGGGAAACCAAAGCUCUUGGGUUCCGGGGGGAAAGUAUGGUUGCAAAGCUCAAACU